CCUGUGGUAUAAAGGGAGCUGGAAAGGCAAGUUAUUAUCUCUGUAAAAUCUUGUUUCUUUACUCUGCAGCAGAGGGACCAUAUUCACCAUGUAGGAGAUGGCCUAUUAAGUACCUUGUCCACGGCUUGGAAUACUCAGCUGGCUAAUUCCUAACUACCUUCAAACAGUCAUUCCUGUAGUCGUUCAUUUUUAUCUCAAACCACAGAUACUGCUUCUACAUCAAUGUGACAUGACACCGGGAUGACACCACCCACUCUCAGUUUAUGGGUCAAGGCGAUUGCCCUUCCACUGGCUGCAAGCGGUCUGUCACCCUUAACAUUACUGGAUUCAACCAAGCCACCUCCAAUACUUCCUAGAGUCCCUGCUACAGGACCAGUGGCUGACACCAAGAAUCUCCUCCAUCUAUGACUGGUGUGAUGCCAUCGAGGACUUGUGGCUUCAAGGAACUUUUAUGGACUUUACCCCUACCACAGUAGUUGUCUGUAGCCACUGAGUGUUAUUUCUGGCUGCCCUGGUGUUCUCAGACCUGUCCCCCGAACAUUCCUCCACUUCCCCUUCUAGGUCUAACGCCGCCCACCAUUAAUCAGGAAGAAGCCAGAGGACUUUAUGCCGUCCCCCGUGUCACUUAAAAAAACAAAAAGGGAGGAAUGUUGGGUGCAGGGCAGGCUGAACAGAUGUUGGCUGCAAGAUAGCCCACACACUCAAACCCCCCUCUGUCUGGUCCUUUAUCACCUGUUUGCCUCAAGUCUGAACAUUCAACCCUGCUUAAGGCUGAACACUUAACACCCCCUUGGGCCAACAAGGCAGCUUGCAGACCCAGAGGCCCCAUUAGAUUUGGGCUAUAAAAACUCCCUCCUGCCAGGCCCCCCUCUCUCUCCCCCUCUCUCUUGCUCUCUCUCUUGCUCUUUCUCUCUCCCUCUCUCUCUUGCUCUUUCUCUCUUGCUCUCUCUCUCUUGCUCUUUAUCUUUCUUACACACGCUCUCUGUCUCUCUCUUGCUCUUGCUCUCUCCCUGUUCAUCUCUUCUCUUUUCUCUCUCUCUCUUUCCUUUCUCUUUGUUGCACUGCUGCAAUAAAGAUCUUUUGGUUGCUCCGA